ACCUGGCUGGCUCAAUUGGUAGAGCAGGUGACUCUUAAUCUCAGGGUCAUGAGUUCAAACCCCACGUUGGGCA
rnacentral:tRNA from 1 species